CCGCCCGCCUGGGCGGGGGCUGUGCUUCAUCGGCUCCCUCAAGGGCCCCUCCGCCCCGCGUUGAACCUCCAACUCCUGACUCGAGGAGCUGCGUUUCUGCAUGGACAGGGAGCAGCAGGCCGCGCCACCCAUGAAUGAGGUGACAGACAGAACGUGGAGCAUCAUCCAGUAUUAAACAGAAAGGAAUCUCCAACAUGUGCAACAACAUGGGCACGCCUUGAGGACAUCAUGCUGCGUGAGCAAGCCAGACAGACAAGGACAGAUAAUCCUUUGCUUGCUUCAAGAAAACCCUCAACCUCCUCAGCGGGGCACCACAGGGGCCCUGGGCUCCGGUCCUUCGCUCUUCCCAGCCUCGUGGGUGUCCCCGCCAGCCUUCCAAGCAGCCCGGCCUCCGCAGCUCCUGGCCCCUGCACUUGCUGCCCUUCUGCUUGCGAGGCUCUUGCUUGUCUGCAGAGGCCGCGUCUUCCAGGGAGCCUCCCCGAAGCUCUGAGCACCACGACCACAGCUCUUCCCGCAUGAGCCUCCUUGGCAUUAAGGCGAAUUUAAGAAGCUGUAGAAGUGAGAGUUCAGGCACUUUGAUGGGCACUGAGAGGGAAGCUUUAGGCAAGCAGGCUCCUUGGUGUGUAUCAAAUGCUGCCUGCAAGGUCCCCUGGCCUCUUGCCCUGUGCCUGUGUCUCCCACGUGUACCUACUGUUUUUUUUCUCCAGCCAUGAUUGCAAACCAGAGCAAUCCAGGCAUCCUUGAAAGCCCUGCAAGACAGCUGUGGCACCAGACUGGUGGGCCCCAGGUGAACCCUCUGGGGACUGUACCUGGGACCCCACCCUGUUCCCCAGCCUUCAGGUUGUAAAGAUUCGUGUUCUCUUUCAAUCUGAAAGAAUGGAGGCUUCCCAGGCCAGGUUUUUUAUGGGGGUUGCCUGGCGCAGGCAGCAGGCCUCCCUCUGCAGCUGGUGUCCCGUGCACCCUGGUUCCCUUCUCUUCUCCUGCAGCUGAUAUCACCGCUUGCUUCCGGCCCCGCACUGGCCCAGGUCCUGCACUGGGUGUCUGGAUUCGAACUGUGUGCCUAAACCC